CCUACGGGGGGCUGCAGUGGGGAAUAUUGGACAAUGGGGGGAACCCUGAUCCAGCCAUGCCGCGUGUGUGAAGAAGGCCCUCGGGUUGUAAAGCACUUUCAGUGAGGAAGAACGCCUGGUGGUUAAUACCCAUCAGGAAAGACAUCACUCACAGAAGAAGCACCGGCUAACUCCGUGCCAGCAGCCGCGGUAAUACGGAGGGUGCGAGCGUUAAUCGGAAUUACUGGGCGUAAAGCGCGCGUAGGUGGCUUGAUAAGCCGGUUGUGAAAGCCCCGGGCUCAACCUGGGAACGGCAUCCGGAACUGUCAAGCUAGAGUGCAGGAGAGGAAGGUAGAAUUCCCGGUGUAGCGGUGAAAUGCGUAGAGAUCGGGAGGAAUACCAGUGGUGAAGGCGGCCUUCUGGACUGACACUGACACUGAGGUGCGAAAGCGUGGGUAGCAAACAGGAUUAGAUACCCGUGUAGUC
rnacentral:rRNA from 1 species